UGUAAUGUCACAGCUGCGGUGCAAGAACUGGCCUGGCUUCCUCCCAGCUGAGGAGGCCACAGCCGGCCACCCUCCCUUUGUUUGUCUUGGGAGGGGCAAUUGCUGAGCAAACAGGGAAGGGAAAUCCUGGAUUCUGUCUCCUCAGCUUGAUCAGCCGUUACCUAGGCCCAGAGGCCUCUGGGGCCCCCUCAGGCCCGGCUCCUUCCUGGCCUGGUGUGUGUGGAAAGGAGCUAGGGUGACUGGUGUAUAGAAAACCCAGGGCUUGACCUUGGUGAAUAUUCAGACAAAAUAAACCCCAACUCAGGAGCACAAACAGAAGUUCACUGAGCACUUACUGUGUGCCAGGCCCUGGGCUGGGCACCCCACAUGUCAGAGCUCUCUGAUGCAACCCAGCCACCAUAGGAGGUGGGCAUCAGGAUCUCCAGUUUCCAGAAGAGGAAACUGAGGCUCGGGGUCAGGAAGAGAGGACACUGACAGAGGUGGGAUUCCCACUCAGACCUCUCUGACCCCUACACUGUGCUCUGAACCUCAGUUCGGCUGUGGAGCAGUGCAGGGUGGUGAGAGGCAAGGCUUCAACAGGGGCCCUUCCCUUCACCUCUCUUUUUUCUCCCCCAGAGACUGUGCAGUUAUCCAAGGCUCCAGAGCCGGCAGGUGGAGCCCUUCCCAUGGCUGAGCUCCUGCCCCAGCUGCCUUGGCCCCCAUCGGUGGAGGGUGGUGUCCAGGACUCAGACUCAUCAGUCCCUGCAGCCGAGUGGCAGAACCAGCAGCCACGAGAUGGCAGGGCAGAGGGCCCAUCCCCUGAGACCUGGAGGCUCCCGGAGGUGCCUUCCAUUCACAUAACACCAUCCAGUGAUGGAGAGUCACCCCCUUGCACCCCGACCCCCCAGCGCCUACGGCUGCCGAGGACCCCAGACCUGGAGAGUCUACCCCAGGACAGGUCAGACCCCGGUGUUGGGACAAAAGAGAGGUGCUCUCUCUCUAGGGACUCGUGCUCGAGGGUGGCUGACACUGUCCAGGUGCAGGAGCUGAAGGUCAGUUGGACUGAAGUUGUGAAAUAGGUACACAAAUAAAACCAGGCAACUGGGACUAUGUGUUGAGACAACUGAUUCUGAGCUCUCUGCUCUCAGCAGAGCACCGCCUAUUAAGGGGACACCCCUUUCGACACACCCAGUGUUUCUCCUUCCUUUUUUUUUUUUUUAAUUUUUAAAAAUGUUUAUUUCUUUUUGAGAGACAGAGAGAGAGAGAGAGAGGCAGAAAGAGAAGGAGACACAGAAUCCCAAGCAGGCUUCCUGCUGACGGUGUGGAGCCGGACAUGGGGCUCGAACUCACAAACUGAGAUCGUGACCUGAGCCAAAAUCAGGAGUCGGAAGCUUAACCAACUAAGCCACCCAGGUGCCCCUCUGGUGUUUUUCAAACUGUGGAUCAUGACCAUUUAAGGGCCGUGAAACCAAGGUACUUCUUGUACUGGAGACCAGUGUAAAAGGAUCACCUGUAUAGAGAAUGACAGCAAUGAAACAGAGGAGGAUGGUGGAAGGAGCGCCUAAGAUCCGAGAGAAGAACGCAGAGGAAACAGCAAGUGCAAAG